CUACAUCAGUACUCCAGGUAGUACUACUACCAACCUUCUAAUACUACAUCAGUACUCCAGGUAGUACUACUACCAACCUUCUAAUACUACAUCAGUACUCCAGGUAGUACUACUACCAACCUUCUAAUACUACAUCAGUACUCCAGGUAGUACUACUACCAACCUUCUAAUACUACAUCAGUACUCCAGGUAGUACUACUACCAACCUUCUAAUACUACAUCAGUACUCCAGGUAGUACUGCUACCAACCUUCUAAUACUACAUCAGUACUCCAGGUAGUACUACUACCAACCUUCUAAUACUACAUCAGUACUCCAGGUAGUACUACUACCAACCUUCUAAUACUACAUCAGUACUCCAGGUAGUACUACUACCAACCUUCUAAUACUACAUCAGUACUCCAGGUAGUACUACUACCAACCUUCUAAUACUACAUCAGUACUCCAGGUAGUACUGCUACCAACCUUCUAAUACUACAUCAGUACUCCAGGUAGU